rnacentral:lncRNA from 1 species
UUUUACAAAGUACUUAAAUUCUCAUUAAGCAUGGUUAUACAUGUUUGCAUUGCGCCACACGUACAAAGAAGUUAGUAACACCACUUAAUAAACGCCGGUUUCUCCCACGAUCUGAAGAGCUGAAAACAUCGAUCAACGCGUUAUAAAAAAGAAUUAAUCGUUGACAAAUGUGAAAAUUAAAUGUACAUGCAUGUACGAUAAUACUACACUACAAAGUGUAUUCUUUGAAAUUUACGCUUGUCACAGAUCAACGUGUGCUUCACGCUAUCAAAGACCAAUGAACGGAGAGGGUUUUUGCUCAAAGAAUUCGCAUCUGAAGUCCGGUCAAAAUGGGAACAUUAAAUCCGAUGCCUCGUGUAGAGAGAGAGUGCCACGCUCUUUGCAUGUUAAGAACCCUUGCAACAACUGUUU